CGUUGUAAAACGACGUUWUGCAUGAAAGUAAUGCUCAUAACUUCCCUCUAGACCUAGCUGCUGUAGAAGUUCCAUCUACAAAUGGAUAAGACUAUGGAUAAGACUUUGGUUUUAGUAUAAGUGUAGUCGAUUUUUUUUUUGAAAAUAAAGGAACAAUAACCAAUUUCUUAUUCUAUCAAGAGUGUUGGUUAUUGUUCCUUUAUUUAGUGAUCUUUUCUUUACAUAACUUUUUUUUUUACUUCAACAUCAAAAAAGUAUUCUAUUCUUAGGGAUUCCUUUGUUAUUUCGUAUCAUACUUUUUUCCUUAUAUAGGAAAUUAUUUAUAAUUUAUAUACAUUCUUUUCAAACCUUUCUUUUUAAGUCUUUGUGAAAUUAUUAUUUUCUAGUUUUUUAUUUUGGUGGAAUCCAAAUAAAUAGAAAUACUAGUAAUAAUGGGGGCGGAUGUAGCCAAGUGGAUCAAGGCAGUGGAUUGUGAAUCCACCAUGCGCGCC
rnacentral:misc_RNA from 1 species